AUAAAUUCUAUGAAGAGAAAAAGUAAGUAAUAUUUUUGUUCCACAGAGAGUUGGCAUUUUGCUGCAAGCCAAUGUUCAAGGUAUAACUGAAAAUCAUCUCGGAGAAGUAAGGCUGAAGAUUAUUAGUAAGUCUUAUCGGAGUUUUUCACCGUUAAAAGAAAAGCGUAUUAUUUAGUACGUAGCUGAGAGCUAUAAAAGAAUCUAUUUUUAUUUAUUAUAGAUUUAGUUUUAUAGAAUUAGGGUGGUAUCGCGAGUAACCUCGUCCCUUUG
rnacentral:ncRNA from 1 species